rnacentral:rRNA from 1 species
UACAGAGGUCUCAACCGUUGUCCGGAUUCAUUGGGCGUAAAGGGUGCGUAGGCGGCGCGGUAAGUCGGAUGUGAAAUCUCGGAGCUUAACUUCGAAACUGCAUUCGAUACUGCCGUGCUUGAGGACUGGAGAGGAGACUGGAAUUUACGGUGUAGCGGUGAAAUGCGUAGAUAUCGUAAGGAAGACCAGUGGCGAAGGCGGGUCUCUGGACAGUUCCUGACGCUGAGGCACGAAGGUCAGGGGAGCAAACGGG